rnacentral:rRNA from 1 species
GAUGAACGCUGGCGGUGUGCCUAAUACAUGCAAGUCGAACGGGAUCUUCGGAUCUAGUGGCGAACGGGUGAGUAACACGUUGGUACCUACCCCUAAGUGGGGAAUAACUGCCCGAAAGGGUGGCUAAUACCGCAUAAUCCCGCAAGGGUAAAGCAGUAAUGCGCUUAGGGAGGGGCCUGCGUCUGAUUAGCUAGUUGGUAGGGUAAUGGCCUACCAAGGCGACGAUCAGUAGCUGGAUCGAGAGGUUGACCAGCCACACUGGGACUGAGAUACGGCCCAGACUCCUACGGGAGGCAGCAGUAAGGAAUCUUCCACAAUGGAC